GUCAUAUCCACACCCCCAAAAGGUAAGUGUAUGGGGAGUGUGGCAUGACAGGGGCCAAUGGGAGCCUUUUAACAAUUUAGGCUCCCACUGUCUCUUUAAGAGCGCGCCCGAGACUCGCGGCGCGCUCUUAGAUUCAGGCGGGACACGUGACCGCUUCUCGCGGUCACUGCCCGCCUUCCUGUUGAAGCCGUCGGAUGAGCCGCGCGCGGCUCGUGCAGCAGCAGGACC